UCCCGGGUGUCUCAGAGGUAAAGAAUCUGUCUGCAGGGCAGGAGACCUGGGUUUGAUCCCUGAUUUGGGAA
rnacentral:tRNA from 1 species